ensembl:lncRNA
UUUUUUUUUUUUGAGACAAAGUCCAGAGUCUUACUGUGUCGCCCAGGCUGGAGUGCAGUGGUGUGAUCUCGGCUCACUGCAACCUCCACCUCCUGGGUUCAAGGGAUUCUCCUGCCUCAAUCUUCCAAGUAGCUGGGGCUACAGGUGCCCAACACCAUGCCCGGUUAAUUUUUUUUUUUUUGGACUUUUAGUAGAGAUGGGGCUUCACUAUGUUGGCCAGGCUGGCCUUGAACUCCCGACCUUGUGAUCCACCCACCUCGGCCUCCCAAAGUGCUGGGAUGACAGGCAUGAGCAGCCGCACAUGGCUCCAUGGCUUCUUUUAAAUAUUUGACUCUCUUGAAAAGCAAGAGAGAUCUAAGUUUUCAAUCAUGGUUGAUUCAUUCUUUCAACAUCCAUUUAUUAAUCUCCUACUAGGUACCAGGCAUGAUGCUCAGUAUGGCGGAGGGGAAUUAGACUCAGUUUCUGUUCUUGUGAAAUCAGAUAAAAAUAAAAGAAACAUUUGUCACAGAGUAAUAGGACAGAAGAAAUAGAAACAUUCAUUAUUUUCCUUUUACAGGCAAGGAAACAAAAACCUCACCUUCAGGGACAUCUCUCAGUAUAAAAAGCAGGGAUGCCAACCAGACCUCUCUAUGCCCCGGUUUCACCUAAUUCUAACCGAAUUAUUCCGCAGUUCCCCUUACGGUCCUCCUUCCUGUACCCUCAACAAGGAGCCAGUUUCUUAUACAGCUGAUAGACAACGGCCCUGGACAGAUUGGUGUUUUCAUCAACCGUGUGAUACAUAAGCUCGCCAAGCCUCUACCCAACACCACAUAAUAUCAUACAUCUUUAGUUUCUAUAAUGUCUUCCACAUGAUUUUACCCCCAAAUGCUUUACAUACUUCACUAAGACAGCUAUAGAAUUAAAAUAAUAAAUCAAGGCAGGGGGACAGAAAGCAAGGAAGUUUAUUCAAGGGAAGAAAAGAUGGGUUUUCAAUGAGACAGGAAAAAGAUGGAAAGCCCUGCUUUGUUUGUGCUAGUCCUGUAACUAAUAACUCUUUUCUCUGUUUUAACUCUUUCUUUGGUUUAUUGUCGCAGGCAGCAUCCCUUGUUCCAUCCCUCAACAAAUCCUCAUCUUGAAAUGACAGCCAGGUACUCCCACUGUAAUAAGAAUCUCAAUUUCCCAAUGCUGCUUUUUAUCAUGCUUUGUUACAAGGCUAUCCCCGCAAAACAUCUGAAAGCUAAAAGAACACUUUAAUUCCUGAGCAUGUGGUGUGAACUGAGUGGGAAAAUAUACAAACUUCUCCAAGCACUUCAAUGCAGGACAGUCUGGAAACUUAUCUGCCCAUCUCCCAUUUGUCUGAGAUUCAUUCAUUCAACAAAUAUUCCUAAUGUAGCAGGUGCCAUGUGGGAGGGAGGGGUGCGCAGGUGGGAUUAUUGUAAUUCUAAUCAGGGAGGUCACGGAGAGCCUUACCAAGAAAGUGGCAUUUGAGCAAAGAUCUGAAGGAAGGGCUGGUUAAGCCAAGCAGAAGAACAAAGCCUAGGGAGAAGGAAUGGCCUUGGCACUUUUAGAGGAAAAGCAAGGAGGUCAAUAUUCCUAGAGCAGAGUAAGCAAGUGGGAGUGUGGCAGAGGAAGAGGGCAGGGGACAGACGGUGCGCACAGAGCCUUGUAAGUCACUGAAAAACCUUUUGCUUUUACUGC